GCCUUCUCAUAUGAAUAUUCAAUUAUCUUGCAAGUAUUCAAAUAUUUCAGCCUUUCACUAAAACAGCUUUCAGCGUUAUUGUACAAAAUCAUCUGACAGUAAAGCAAAGUUCACAUUUAUUGGCAAAUAUUGUUCAUAGCAUUCUAUAUUAAACAUUUGUGCAAUGAUAAACAGGUUUUAUACAGCCACGCUACAGAGUCUAAAUUACACUGCAUGGAUUAGAAGGAAUUUAACACAUUCUAAUCCAAAAUAAAAGGAAAAUCAAAUCCUAACAAUGGAAAGCACUGAAAUUAAUGACACACAGGAAAAAUAAAAUAUACAACACUACAUCGAUUGUGCAAACAAAGCACCUGCCAUAUAAAUGUGCAAUUCUUACGUUCACACACAAACACGCACGUACCCAAAGACUUUAACCCAGAAAUCUGCUGCUCUCUGGCCAAUACUGCUGCAUAAGGGAAGUUUGUCUCACUCACACAUGCACUCAUUCACUGGUGCAGAGUUCACAAUGGUCAAAGGGGAUGUUUGGAGAAAAACAAGGGCCUAGUCUCUUAAAAUGUAUUAUAUCUUUCAUGAAUUAAUUGGCAUAGCUAUCAGCAAUAGAAUAAACGCCCCAAACACAUAAGUCUAUAAAGAUAAACCUCUAAAGACUGUAUAUCAUGGCUGAUUCUGGUUUCAUCAAAAAAAAAAAAAAGAAAAGAAAAAAAACAUUGAGUCAUCUGCCAUCUGGUGGACAUUUGUUUUGUUGUGACCAAGUAAACUAUUCAUACACACUUCAAGAGUACAUUUGGGCUUGCUAUUCCCUAUAUAUACACAUAAUAAUUCUGUUUAAUGACUAAAUUUACAUUUUUAGAACCAUUUUCUAAAAUGUAACCCUCUGGUCUGACUGAAUAACAUGUACUGAUCUGUCAAACGACCAAUCCAGAGCCUAAUGGGUGACUUUUGAAACACAGCCGAUAUUAAUCUGUUGAUGACCAUGUAGAACUGAAGCAUCCAGUUCCCUCCAGCAUGAAAUAUUGUCUCAAACUGUGUGUUAAGACCUAAACACAGUUCAUGAGGGUGCUUCACAGCAGGAGAAGCUCUGACUUAACGUCAGUACUGUAAUUCAGAAUCUCUGCUAGACAGGCGGACGUCCCAUCCAGAGGUCAGCAUGUAAGAGACCUUUGUUCACGAGCCUUCAGUCUUACUCUUUUUUUCCUCCU
ensembl:lncRNA